rnacentral:tRNA from 1 species
GCCGGAGUGGUGAAAUUGGUAGACGCAGAGGACUCAAAAUCCUCCGGGCUUUGCGCCCAUGUCGGUUCAACUCCGACCUCCGGCACCA